ACGCCCCCCUAAUGCAGCUGAUACCAGUGUAUUGGUUUUUUUUUAAAUAAAGUUACAAAGAUUACGGCCAGUUCCUAAAAAAAAAAAAACCAACCCCAAAACCAAACCAACAAAAAUGCGGUGGCGUGAAUUGAACUGUUGAACUGCAGGGCGUGAGGGACCCUGUUUCAAAGUGUGCAUGCAGGAAUUGAAGGAAAAUCUUGCAGAUCCCCCCAGGUUAAACUGCCCCUAUGUUGUGUAAGUGGAAUUGUAUAUCCUUGAUGUGGGAUGGGGGAAAAAAAAAAAAGUGUCAAUGGAAGGCAACUGCAUGGGCCUGCAGAUGCAGGUUUAAAUAACCAGGCUGCGGCUCCUGCUUAUGCCGCCGAAGUUGGUAGGUCAGACCAAGCCCUUUGGCAGACUCUGAAUGGAUUAGCUGGCAGUGGCUGAAAACCCUGCCCAGCAGUUUCAUUUCCAUGGCCUUUCUGGAAGAGGCACUUUCUUUGCUCAGCACAAGAGUUCUUCUCCCCAGUGUGUUCUGAGUCAGGAGUGGCAGGACUGGCUGGACAAUGAUGACUGUGUAGCAUAGUAGCCUUUUAGUUUUCAACCUUUUCUUCUUCAUAGGGUCAAAGAUAAACCUCUUAGAUGCUUUGAAAAACCUGACCCUGUCUCUGGAAAUAACUGAAGUGUCCAGCCUGGAUCAAAGAAACCUUUCCUUCAAAAACAUUGUCAAAACUGAGAUUUUUUUUUAAAAGCUUUUGGCUCUGAUGAAAGCCAAAUGAUGAAAUCGGUGUGUAUUUGAUGGGAAGUGUUCCAGCCAGCUCUAAUAAGGACACUACUCAGUAUUUUAAUGACAACCUUCAAUAGCAAAACUCUAUUUUGGCUCCUUUGUGUUCCUACCACUGUACUACCUGGGCAAUCUCCCAGUCUUUAAUGUAUUUUUUCCUCACAGUAUACCUGGAAAAUGCUAUUGUCCCGACUUUACAGAUGAGCAAUGGAAGCACAGGAAGGUGAGGCGACUUACUGAAGAUCGUACAGUCAAGUUUUCAAUGGAGGAAAAAAAUCAUUCUCCUUGUCCAAGAUCAUAAACUAGUGUCGCGAGUUGGGGUACCUAGUGCUAUUUUUCUCUUAUAUGACCCUGAUCCGCUCUGUCCAAAACUUGAGAGUAUGCAAAACCUGACAGAUCAUUUGUCCCGUAUGUAAGAAAUGUAAGAGAGAGAUCAUUUGUAGGUGAGGUCUAUCACCUGCUCUGUCAGUUGUUGGGCUGCCCUGAAAGACUUGCUAUUUAUUUACAGAAGACAGUUAGAAAAAAACACUUUUAUCCUUGUUUCUUUCUUCCUGCUCCCUACUUCCACCUUGUAUUUUUGGGGCUUGCAUACUGCAGAUGCUAUCUGUAAACUCCCACCUCAAUUUUCUGUGAAGCUUUCAGCAGGUGGGAAAGUCUCUCCAAGAAGGAUGGAAAUGAGAGCCAGACAAUAUUUGGUUCACUAGAGAAAAAUAUCACAGUUUCUUUCAGGAAGCAGAGGAAGCAGCAGAAACUAUACCUAACUAGAAAAGGAGAUCAUAUUUGCUUACAUUGUUUGAAAUCCAUGAAUGCCUAAUUUGGUACCCUUGCAUGAGAUGGCAGACCAGCAGCCUUUUAUAAGUGAGGGUGCUGAUGUUUUCCACUAGUCCUCAGUUUAAAAGCAGUGACAGGAUUUCAAAGGGAGAAAGAGAAAUACAGUUUUCUGGUGAGAAACACAGUCCAUAAUUCAGAAGACAUUGAGGAUGCAGGAAAAGAGCUGCAACAGGCCAAGUGUGAAUCAUCAGGUUCAGAUAAAAUUUGAAUAGUUUGGAGGAAAAGAUUCUGCUGAGGGUUUUUGGAAAUGGAGCUGCAACUUCUGCAAAGAAGGCCUUGAACCACAGAAGAGCACUUCUCUUCAGCCGCAGGGAGAAACUGCAUCUUUUAUGUGUUGGUACUAUGUUGGUGUGAGGCUAUGGUCUUACACAAGCCCAUGCCAGUUUAGGCGUAUGAAAUCACAUGAUAGGCAAGUGUUAAAUGCAGAUGUAAUUCCUAUAUAUCUACCUUUAUUACAGGAAAUCUUUGCCUCUUCCUUUUUCUUAAACUUUGUGAGUAUUUUAUUUUAAUUUAAGUAUCUGAUAGUAGUGAGGAAACUGAAACUAAUUCAUGACCAAAGAACAUCCUUCAUCACUUCUUGCUUCUUGUCAGAAAAACAAUUCGCUGCCACUGGAAGCUUGCGCCAGGAAUUUCCCUGCAGGCCUAAGUUUCCACCGCCUUGGAACAUCAAAAUGCUGAACUCGCAGACUGUAGAGAGAAGUUUCUUCCCAGAGAAUAAUCAUCAAGGGCACGUCUUUCAUGGGGAGCAACUGAGUAAUUCCCAGGAUCCAAGUGUCACCGCACUUGUGGUGUUCAUGAGCGGGUCUGCAGAGGGGAUGAAGAAAGAGGAGGGUUUCCACCAUGAGAACGCAGGCAAAGAGAAGGCCCUGCCCUCUCUCACGUAACUGUCACGGCCUCGGUCUGUCGUGACAUUUUGCCUUCCCACGGAAGGGCCGCGGAGCCCUGUUAGUCAGAGGGACCUUGGGAACCAGCACUUCCCACGUUUUGAUGU